rnacentral:rRNA from 1 species
AGAGUUUGAUCCUGGCUCAGAAUCAACGCUGGCGGCGUGCCUCAGACAUGCAAGUCGAACGCGAAAGCCCCCUUCGGGGGGCAAGUAGAGUGGCGCACGGGUGAGUAACACGUAGGUAAUCUACCUUUGGAUGGGGAAUAACAACCGGAAACGGUUGCUAAUACCGCAUAAUGCAGCGGCACCUAAUGGUGACAGUUGUUAAAGCGGGGGAUCGCAAGACCUCGCGUCUGAAGAGGAGCCUGCGGCAGAUUAGCUAGUUGGUAAGGUAACGGCUUACCAAGGCGAUGAUCUGUAGCCGGCCUGAGAGGGCGGUCGGCCACACUGACACUGACAUACGGGUCAGACUCCUACGGGAGGCAGCAGUCGGGAAUUUUGGGCAAUGGGCGAAAGCCUGACCCAGCAACGCCGCGUGAAGGAUGAAAUCCCUCGGGAUGUAAACUUCGCAAGAACAGGAAGAAUAAGUGGGAGUUAAUAUCUCUCACGAUGACGGUACUGUUUGUAAGCUCCGGCUAACUCCGUGCCAGCAGCCGCGGUAAUACGGGGGGAGCAAGCGUUGUUCGGAUUUACUGGGCGUAAAGGGCGCGUAGGCGGCCACCGCAAGUCGACUGUGAAAUCUCUGGGCUUAACCCAGAACGGUCAGCCGAUACUGCGGGGCUAGAGUGCAGAAGGGGCAACUGGAAUUCUCGGUGUAGCGGUGAAAUGCGUAGAUAUCGAGAGGAACACCUGCGGCGAAGGCGGGUUGCUGGGCUGACACUGACGCUGAGGCGCGAAAGCUAGGGGAGCGAACGGGAUUAGAUACCCCGGUAGUCCUAGCCUUAAACGAUGAAUGCUUGGUGUCUGGGGUUUUAUAGUCCCCGGGUGCCGUCGCUAACGCUUUAAGCAUUCCGCCUGGGGAGUACGGUCGCAAGACUGAAACUCAAAGGAAUUGACGGAAGGGCGAAUUCC